CCUGUGCCCGUGUCACUCCUCCAGGGAGAAGGAACUUCUGUGAACAGCACUGUAGGAACUCCAGCUGUGACAGCAUCCAACAUGGCACGGGAUGUCUUUACUGUGCCAGUAAUUACCAAAAUGGAAAAAGAGAUUUUUCUAUCCCAAACACUCAUUAUUUUACUUAUCUGAUUUUAAUAGGAACAAAGAGAAAUUAUAUCCUUAGGUGGGAACAUGUUCAAAUAGGAUUUCUCUAGACUGACAGCCAUAGCCAAGUUGCACUCAGAAGCAAAUAGGAAACUGGGGUAGCUUUUGCAGAGCCUGUAUAAUAUUUUUCUCUGAAGUGAAAUAUGUAUAAUAUAAUAUUUUUCUCUGUGAAAAGCAGCAUGUGCCUACUGGAGCUUCUGACAUCUCCUGUCACACAGGUGAUUACUGACUGGUGGUCUGAUGCUUCUGCCAUAUAAACCUGAUGUCAUCAAAGCUGGUGGACCCAGAGAUGAACCAGAGCUCCUGAGCCUGCCUGCCCUCUCGUCCCGCUGCACAUGAGGCCCCUGAGCUGCCCGUGCUGUUGUGCCCAGUGCAGAGGCUGCAGGGAAAACACGGCCUGCCAGUGAGACAUGUUUAGGAGGAGGCUGUGGAGCCCAGCUCUGUGGAUGCUCUGCUGCACAACCAAGCCCACACUGCAGAGUCUUCCUGGGUGUCUUCCAGGGUCUGAGCUCCACUGAGUGUUUGUCUCGGGUCUGUUCUGUUCAGCUCCUUCCCUGCACCUUCAGAGGCAAGCCUCUUCCCCAAAAUCUACGCUGUUUGGCAUUCAUCCUGCAGCCAAGGAGAGCUCCUUCAGCAGUGGGAUCUGCCCAAGAGGCAAUGGGAAUGGUCAGUUCACUCCUACUGACUUGCCUGGAAAUUCAGUAUCAGGAUGCACAUGAAGCCACUGGAUGGACUGAGAGUCUUCAAGACUGUGAUGAUCCUCUGUUCAGUUAACAAUGAUUUUUAUAAAUGCAGCAUCAAGAAGAGAUACUUGAUAGCUGAAUGCUCACGACAGAAAUGGAGCAUCAGCACUUGAGUUAAAUGAAAGUGAGAGGAAGAAAUGAGAAGAAGAAAUCAAGGCACAAGUAUGAUUGUUCACAUUUGAUUCUGAGGAAGUCACUGCUGGGAAUGCUGCCACCUGCUAAUGAAGAACCCUCUUAUGCCAAGAUUCAGACUGGAAGGAAAAAUUGAUUGCUUAAGUUUGAUCAGGAUGUCGUGAGCAGACCAUUGGUGUUCCAAAAAGCAAUGGCAAUCUUUUUUGUGCCUGUCUGAUGCACUGCCCAAGCACUUCUAGGGAGAGACAGUAAAGGGAGACCAUCCAUCAGCAUCACUUAAUCUAAACCAGUGUUAAUUUUGUGGCUGUAUUUAAACCGCUUGGGAUGUGAUACUAAAACCACCUCUGCUAUAAAACUAAGCACACUUGGGUGUGCCUCAGGGAUGGGAAUGCUGGUAUGGGAGCCACUUAGGCCAAGUUCAUAUGUGGGAAUCUCAGCUGAGCCUGAUUCAAACUCUAAAUACUGUCUGAGACACUUCUGUGAGAACUGAGAGUAAUCUGAACUGCUGUGCCAAUAUUAAUAAAUUAAACUGUGAAUGUCC